rnacentral:tRNA from 1 species
ACCUGGGUGGCUCAGUCAGCUAAGCGUCUGACUUCAACUUAGAUCAUGAUCUCACGGUCCGUGAGUUCGAGUCCCACAUCAGGCU